AUACGUAGGUGACAAGCGUUAUCCGGAUUUACUGGGCGUAAAGGGCGUGUAGGCGGUCUUGCAAGUCAGAAGUGAAAUUCCUGAGCUCAACUCGGGCGCUGCUUCUGAAACUGCAGGACUUGAGUGCUGGAGGGGAUAGCGGAAUUCCUAGUGGAGCGGUAAAAUGCGCAGAUAUUAGGAAGAACACCGGUGGCGAAGGCGGCUAUCUGGACAUUAACUGACGCUGAGGCGCGAAAGCGUGGGGAGCAAACAGGAUUAGAUGCCCUGGUAGUCCACGCCGUAAACGAUGAAUACUAGGUGUAGGGGGUAUCGACUCCCUCUGUGCCGCAGUUAACACAAUAAGUAUUCCGCCUGGGGAGUACGGCCGCAAGGUUGAAACUCAAAUGAAUUGACGGGG
rnacentral:rRNA from 1 species